UACAGAGGGUGCAAGCGUUAAUCGGAAUUACUGGGCGUAAAGCGUGCGUAGUCGGUUAUCUAAGUCGGGUGUGAAAUCCCCGGGCUUAACCUGGGAAUUGCGUCCGAAACUAUGGAGCUGGAGUGUGGCAGAGGGAGGUGGAAUUCCACGUGUAGCGGUGAAAUGCGUAGAGAUGUGGAGGAACACCGAUGGCGAAGGCAGCCUCCUGGGCCAACACUGACGCUCAUGCACGAAAGCGUGGGGAGCAAACAGG
rnacentral:rRNA from 1 species